rnacentral:rRNA from 1 species
UGCUCUUCCGAUCUUGCUGAAGCAACAAAUGCCCUGCUUCCAGGAAAAGCCUCUAAGCAUCAGGUAACAUCAAAUCGUACCCCAAACCGACACAGGUGGUCAGGUAGAGAAUACCAAGGCGCUUGAGAGAACUCGGGUGAAGGAACUAGGCAAAAUGGUGCCGUAACUUCGGGAGAAGGCACGCUGAUAUGUAGGUGAGGUCCCUCGCGGAUGGAGCUGAAAUCAGUCGAAGAUACCAGCUGGCUGCAACUGUUUAUUAAAAAC